rnacentral:misc_RNA from 1 species
UGUGGAUCCCGAUCCUUGGUCAGCUCGCAUUCGUUAUAGGUGGCGGGUGCCCCGAAACAUGGAAGGGGUUCUCAUCGAGUGCUUUUAGCGAUUUGUUGCCUGUCAUCAGACUGUCUUUAUCUUCGGGUGCCAUGGUUUGUUUGGAGCUAUGGUACAACAGUAUUUUGCUGUUGCUGACUGGAUACAUAAAAAAUGCGGAGGUUGCGAUCGAUGCCCUUUCUAUAUGUCUCAACAUUAACGGCUUGGAAAUGAUGAUUGCUCUAGG